rnacentral:rRNA from 1 species
UACGAAGGGGGCUAGCGUUGUUCGGAAUUACUGGGCGUAAAGCGCGCGCAGGCGGCUAUCCAAGUCAGUGGUGAAAGCCCGGAGCUCAACUCCGGAACUGCCAUUGAAACUGUUUAGCUUGAGGACGAGAGAGGUGAGUGGAAUUCCCAGUGUAGAGGUGAAAAUUCGUAGAUAUUGGGAAGAACACCGGUGGCGAAGGCGGCUCACUGGCUCGUAUCUGACGCUCAGGCGCGACAGCGUGGGGAUCAAACAGG